rnacentral:rRNA from 1 species
GACGAACGCUGGCGGCGUGCUUAACACAUGCAAGUCGAACGGAAAGGCCCUGCUUUUGUGGGGUGCUCGAGUGGCGAACGGGUGAGUAACACGUGAGUAACCUGCCCUUGACUUUGGGAUAACUUCAGGAAACUGGGGCUAAUACCGGAUAGGAGCUCCUGCUGCAUGGUGGGGGUUGGAAAGUUUCGGCGGUUGGGGAUGGACUCGCGGCUUAUCAGCUUGUUGGUGGGGUAGUGGCUUACCAAGGCUUUGGCGGGUAGCCGGCCUGGGGGGGUGACCGGCCACAUUGGGACUGGGAUACGGCCCAGACUCCUACGGGAGGCAGCAGUGGGGAAUAUUGCACAAUGGGCGGAAGCCUGAUGCAGCAACGCCGCGUGCGGGAUGACGGCCUUCGGGUUGUAAACCGCUUUCGCCUGUGACGAAGCGUGAGUGACGGUAAUGGGUAAAGAAGCACCGGCUAACUACGUG